UUUCCCAUUUGAUGGCUACAUUUUCUCCUACUGAUAGAUUUUAGUAGCUCUGCUUGUGGGAUAGAGUGAAACUGCUGGGAUCUGAAGGGGGAGGAUUUCUCUGUGUCCUCCUCCUAUAUGAAAUGGCUGGACAGAAAAAA